AUGGUCUUCUAAAACAGUAAUUAAGGAAGGCGCCAUUAAGGUCUUGUCUGAUCACCUCUAAUUAGAAGAGCUGUGUGUUGAAGCCUCAGCCAGUACAGUGGUACCUCGGGUUAAGAACUAGAUUCAUUCCAGAGGUCUGUUCUUAACCCGAAACCGCUCUUAACCUGAGGUACGCUUUUGCUAAUGGGGCCACUCACUGCCGCCGUGCCACCGCUGCGCGAUUUCCGUUCUCAUCCUGAGGAAAAGUUCUCAACCCAAGGUACUAUUUCCGGGUUAGUGUAGUUUGUAACCCAAAGUGUUUGUAACCCGGGGUGUUUGUAACCUGAGGUACCACUGUAUAACCAAGCAGAGCUUACACAGUGGCAACAAGAAGCCAGUGAAUAAUGUAACAAAGAUAUAAUAUGGGGAGGAAGCAACUAGCAUGUUUGGUUUGGGGGUUUGAAACUCGUACUGCAUACAACUACAUACAAAUUACAGUAUAAUAUGGAGAAUCUUAUUGUCAAAGCCUAUGUGCAAUCCCUAUGGGUCUAUGUGAAGACGGGGUUUAUUUCGGGUAGAAAUGUGUACGAGUGACAUUUGUCCACUUCCCAAUACUCAAUCACAUGGGUUUUUGACCGCUUUCCAGUGCUAAAAUGCUCCUCGAAUAAACUGGGUACACUUUCUCCUUGAAGAAAAUACACACAAAGUGAAUUUAAUACACAAAGGGAGAUUUUUCUUUUCUUUUCUAUGAGGGAUAAUAUUAUUCCCCUUUAUUCUGUGUAAUAUGUAGAUUGGACUUUAGAUGAUGAAGUUGUGAUGGAAAAUUGAUAUAACUCUUCAACACAAAAAGUUAUGGACAUAUUAAAACUGUUAUUUCAGCUGUGUGCUAUCAAUUUUCAUUUCCAUGGAAAUUGAUCCUAUUUCUCUGAUAGAUUCAAAAUUCACAUAAUUUUAACAAUGUAAUAAAUCCCAAUACAACAAAUCAGAAUUUGCUAGAUUAUGUGAUGCCUUGAAGAACUUUUGGCAAAACUGAAGUUGUGCUAUGUUAAAAUAUCAGCCUUUGCCAACUCUAGUAGAAUACAUAUGGAUAGUGUUAGAAACUCCGAUAUAUAUGCUAGGCACCAAAUGGUCCCUUAAGCCAAGGCUACAGUUGCCAAACCAGAAUGUCUUGUUGCCCUUUUGGGGCCAGGCAACUUGAAAGUCAUAUUUUUCAAUACAACUUUUUGGUUCCUGAAAUUUGCUCUGAUCGUGCAGAUAAAAUCGUCUCACAGAUAGGAUUCUACAGGAUUUGUUGCAAGUGUGUGAAAACAGCCGAGAUCCAAAGAUCCCCACACAUGCACCUCCAGAUGGUGAAGAUAUCAGGUGUCAUCCUGGCACCCAGACAUCUUUGCUUGGUCACAAGUGGUCAAUAGCCAGGUGCGAAAUGCAGGUGGGGGUUUAAGUCGAAAAUAUUUGGAGCAUACCAGGUUGACAGAGGCUACUAUAUCAGUAUCAAACUUUAUUUCGGUCACAAACCAGCAUUAUAUAUUAUGCUGAUGUAGUCUACUACUUUUGGUCAUUAAGAAAUAAUGUCCUGGAAACCCCAGAAGGCUACCUAAUAUUAUCUGUAACACAGAGCUUAAUCAGACAGCCGUUUAUUGCAGAGCAGCAGACCACGGAAUAUGCCUCUGGUGCCCAGCUAUAAAACGAACUUUUUACACGUUUAAAAUGUGUUCCAGUCUUUACGUCUCCCUAAAUGAAGUGAAGCCAAAAGAUUUUGUUGUAACUAUAGGCCUGUCAGCACUUCCUUUGUACACAUAAAAUUAAUUAUGUUAUCCGUAAAAUCCUAUCAGCCAUGGAAAGGAAAUAAUUAAAUCCCAAAAUGAUUAUUAAUUUAAAUAACUAUUGUGAUUGCCUAUCAGAUAUGCAGUUAUCUGAUUUUUGAGUUGACUGAUGUUGAUGGGUUGACAGGAAUGAAAGACUAUCUUACGCCAUGUAAGAAUUGUUUACGGAUGGAUACAAACAAUAAUAGGAGAAGUGUGGAGCUAAAAGCUGUGACAAUCAUUGAAUAACGCGGUUAUUGCUACAGGGAAUUCUGAACUGGUAUGCUUUCUUUUAGCUUCUGUGCACAGUGAUGAGUAGUUUAUCUUUCCCAUGUUGUAAGCAUUAUGAGAGAUAUUUGACUAAGUCAUGUUCUGAGUAGGCCUUUUGAAAGCAAUGGACUAACUUUAGUCCAUUCACUUCAGUGUGUCUACUCUGAGUAUGACUUAGUUGGAUAACACCUUAUAUUCCGUUUCCAACAUUUGAUGCAACUUUUGUUUCUAAUGCAAGGUCAAUCAGCGGUCUCUCUGGAAUAGUGUUUAAAUCUUUCUUGUGCAUUAGUUUCAAACAUGUAUGCUUAUUAAUUCAUAUAGCCUCCUAAACCUUUGUAUGCUACAUAUUCAUUUCCAAUAAUGUUUUUAAUGCAAGUCACAGACUUGUGUUAAUCAUAUUUGUUAGGCUGAUUCUUGUUAUAAAAUACAUGAAAGUUCUUUCCAAUAAAUAUUGGUGGGCUGUCUUAUGGGAUGCGUAGCACUGCACAUCAUGUACAAUACCAUAUAUUUAUUUAAAACUAUCCCGCCUUUCUGCCUGGCUGCAGACCCCAAGGUGGCUGACAAUAUGGAAAAAUUAAUAAAGAUAAUGAGUUCUAAAACUCUGGGAUAGAAUGCUUUGAGAUGCCCGUUCUCCUGGUGUUAGAUGCCGCUGCUAACCUGCUGAUUUUCAGAUGUUUCACUGUGAGCACUUUGGAAGGUGGGAAGAACAGCUUCCCAAAGUGUAUUACCUAGCAACCAGUCCCUGGGGCAUAUUGACCUCACUCAGGCAGCUGGAACAAUCUACAACUUUGGCCUCUUCCUAGUAGUGGGGUAUUGAUAAGGGCUCGUGGUGCACAAUGUUGGAGAAUGACACCUCCCCAGAACUGCUAAAAGUGUGGCUGUUCUGCAGUUCAUACUCUGUUGCCCACUUCUCUUUGGGCUUAAAUAUGUCUAUUCACAUGUGAUGCCACUUUACAUUGUUGAGGGUUGUUUUGACAUACCAGCAUGACAGUUGGAUGGGGUAGUAUGAUGAUAGGGCAAGUAACAUGGAAAAUAUUAACAUAACUAGGGGUAUAGGGAGUGCUGAUAAAUGGAUAAAAUAAUGAUCCAUGAAAAAAAAAACAGAGAGAGAAGAACAAAUGCUGAAAUAAAAGCAUGCAGUUGCACGGAAGUGAAUAGUACUAAGCAACAUGAUUCUUGAUUAGUUCAUAAUUAUGAGCAGUAGGAAAGGUAGCAGCCUGCUAGACAUGAUCUCAUAUCACAAGGAACACUCCACUUGAGGCUUAAAGAAUUAGAAGGAAAGGGGCUUUUGAACAGAAUUAUGUGACAGAGCAUGGUAUGAAAUCAUAAGCUUUGAAAACAGUUUUUUUUAUGUAUAAAAAAAUCUCAGAUUGGAGGGAGGAGAGACUCUUCUAACAUUUUAAACCUGUUGCUAUUUCCUUUUGCCCUUAACCCAAGAAAAUAGUGGCACACACUGAGAACUGAUUUUCAAGCUUGUUUCUUAGGCCAGGGAAAGUUCAAGCCAUCAGAGAGGAUUUAGAGAAAGGUCACCUAGUUUUCCUUAACUGGCAUGAGUAGGAUGCCCUGUAUUUGAUUUUCUAAAAUACCCUUUAUAGCUUGGUGGUCUGUGUAUAGACAUACUUGAGGUAUGACUGUCUUGGGCAUCCUUGUCAUGCAUAAAGCAGCCCACCCCCCUUUAUUUGCACAUUUUCAUAUUCUGUAACCCCGACAUUUAAUAUUCUUUUUUUUAAAAAAAUGCUGCAGACCAAAAAAAUGCAUAUGGUCUCGGAAAUGGUGACAAAACGACACCAGGCUAAUUGAAGAAGAAACAACCAGUGGUAGCCUCAAAACAGAUCUGGGUACAAAAAUGAUGUGCAUAUUUGGAUAACAUAAAAUUUAACUGAUCUCAUUGAAAACUAUUUUUUUUUAGGAACAGUGUAGAAGCAAGCAAAUAUAAUAUGUGCAUUAUGUUGUUUCUAUAAAUGCACAUGUAAUUAAACUGUUAUGCGAUUUACUAAAGUUAAUGACAUGACUUGGGGAGAUGCCUGAGCUGAUGGAAAUGGUAUAGAAUAAUGUGCAAAGUAAUUUGAUUAAUAAUUGAACUGAGAUUAAUAAUUCAGAUGAGAUUAAUUUGCAUAAAAUGAUGCAUUAAUAAGCAAGUGGCUAGCAUUCAAGUGUAAGAAAUGAGAGAGGGAUUUCACACAGUCGAAAUGGUUAGUCAGACAUUUUGUUGUUCCUUUCACUAUCCAAAACCACCUCUUACUCUUAAAAAAGACAAGAAUACUUAUCCAUUGAUCUCUUUUAAAGUUUAGCUUAGCUGUACCAGCUAACUUGAGAAAAUGACUUUCUAGUAUUUGGUUUGCACUUCCUAGUGGAACGGUCAUGGGUUAUUUAUGACUUUGCCUACCAACCCUUUUCCAUUAAUUGUCUGUUUUGAGGACUGCCUAACCAUCUCACAAACAUGCCUUGAGGUAGGUGUCAUGGUGCACCUUUGUGCAUUUUGCUUCGCUUACCCUUAGGCACCAAUUCUUAAAAUUAAAUCAUAGUGCACAUUAUGACCAUCUGGAAUGGAAGCAGUAGAGGGAGAGGGAGAGCCAAACAGAGCUGGUCUCUCAGCACAGCUGAGAACAUGUGGACAGUGUUACAAGAAUGAGCAGAGACAGGACAGGAGCCAAACCAAAGGUCAUUUUAAAAAGCUACAUCCAAGUGUUUAUGAAGUUUAAAGUCCCACCUCCCUGCAAUAGUCGUGGCUGCAACAACUCUCAGUUUUUCAUAGCUUUAAAUGUACACUUUACUUUUGGC